rnacentral:rRNA from 1 species
UACAUAGGGUGCAAGCGUUAAUCGGAAUUACUGGGCGUAAAGCGUGCGCAGGCGGUGAUGUAAGACAGAUGUGAAAUCCCCGGGCUCAACCUGGGAACUGCAUUUGUGACUGCAUCGCUGGAGUGCGGCAGAGGGGGAUGGAAUUCCGCGUGUAGCAGUGAAAUGCGUAGAUAUGCGGAGGAACACCGAUGGCGAAGGCAAUCCCCUGGGCCUGCACUGACGCUCAUGCACGAAAGCGUGGGGAGCAAACAGG